GCGGCGCCGGCAGCGCCGGCGGCCGCGGCCUCGGAGGCGAGCGCCGCGGUGGCCGAGGCGGCGGCGACGAGGAAGGCGAGGAGCGCGGCGAAGGCCAUCUUCUUCAUCUCCAUCUCGGCGCUGGCGGCUUUCAGUAUCUUCUUUGACAUUUGGAUGGUGAUUUGGGGAGCUAUUAUUUUGCUGGUAAAAAUGGCGAGUUUGGUGCUACGACAAGAGUUCGGUUGUCAAGAGACUCGAGUCUUGUCUUUAUUUUGGUCUAUUAAACUGAGCAUGGGUGAAUUGUAUCGAUUAGUGAACUUUAAAACUAGUUAUGUCGGUACAAUGUUCAGAUUUUCAUUUUAUUAUUGACGUGGAUUUGUUGUCUCGAAGUUUGGUGCUAUUUUAUAUGUUAUGAUCUGUC